UUCUCAGACGGGGGAGGGGGAACUGCUCCCCUGCUGUGGGGGCGGAGCGAGAGGAAACAGCGGGUCACGAGGGCGCGCAGGACUCUCCAGGGUCUGGCCUCUGCCCGAGGGUGUCACGUGGGUCCUCCCGUCAGUGACGCGUGUGACACUGGCUCUGGGGCUGCGGCUGGUGCGUGAGCGGUUACUAGCUGCCCUGGAAGUGACCUUGUUGAGGGCUGUGGCUAGGCCCCGCUCAGCAGGAAGGGACAGAAAACCUGUUUUCCCCAGACCAGGAAGGGUCGCGUGGCUGGCUGAUGAGGCGGAAUUUCAGGGUUGUGUGUUUCACAGCGGGGCUCUGCUCACCAGCCUGCACUGGAGGCUCAGGAAAGUUUGUAGAAACUUCAAAGAGGAAACAGUAACGGGAAGAACUAACCAGUGUGGGGGAGGGAACCCUAGCUUGAGAUACGCAUCAAAGGUUUCACGCAGUUGGGGGACAAAGAAGACACCCUGGCAUCCUUCACCUACGGCAGUGGUUUUCAACCUAUGGACCCCGCAGUCAGAGUGCCAAAGGGUUCUGCACCUCCGUUAGAAAUUUUGUAGGGGGUCUGCAAAUGAAAAAAGGUUAAAACCCACAGACCUAAGAAGUAAACAGUACAUUUACUUUGUGAAAGAGGGGGUGUCAGCCAGUGUUAGCGGAAAAGUUUGGAAAGAACUCUGCGUGAAAUCAGAUCCUUUAGCCAGGAGGAUAGCUUGUUAGUCAAGUCAAAACCAGAUGGUUCUCCAGAAGAAUGAUCUCCUUCAUUCCUCCCUGAGCCAAACCAGUGCCCUUUUCAAAUUCCAGCUACCUUGGAAUAAGAGCAACAAUAGACUGUCGACUGAAAAUGAGGAUAAGUGAAGGUUUUGGCUUUCAAAGUGCCGUGGAAGCAGGGUGCUGGGUUUCAGUCAGGUGCAAGGGAUGGGAUGUCCAAAAGGAUACAACUGAUGAAGUUCUUCCUGCCAUCGGAAGGAAAAUAAGGAAUAAUUAGGAGAAAAUCAGCCUACAUUUUUGCUACCAACUAUGUUGCAAAAUGCACAAAUGACAGAAAUGUUUCCACAUCAACCACUUCAGAUUUAGAAAAUAACUUGUUUUAGGAUACAUUAACCCUGAAGUCAUUCUGUGAAACCUUCUUGGAGAGAACCCACCUUUUCUGGUGUGUACAUCUCUUUGAAAACUUUAAGCACUACAUAGAUACUAAAUAUUAUUGUGUAUCUGUACCUUCACAGCACUCAUUAUGAAUCACCUGAUGACAUUUCCGUUUCUGAACUGUACAAAAACCAGGGAAGCAUGCGGGGGAAUCAGAAUAUGUCAUCUGUUGUUAAAUUACAACCAAAGGUUGUUUAAGUCAAACCCAUGUCCCCAACCACCACAAUGUUGCCCCAUCCCCAUCUCAAAUGAUACUUCCUUCUAACCACACUCUCCUUACAACCAAUCAUUGAAAGCCCAGAUAAAUCCUUAACACAAUGCAAUUAAAAAAAAAAGAAAUGUAUGAGCCAAGCAAUAAUUCUUCUGAAAGUGUCUAAUCUAACUUCCCUGUAAAACACAAUUUUAAAUUUUCUUGAAGUGUGGCAGUAUUGACCUAAUGAAAGCUCACCUGUCCAUUGUUAUCCCUCUUAGCACUCCAUAGGUACAUACAGAAUUGAGACUUUCUCUUGAGUAUUAGCCCCAUUUUUCAGAAGGCAAAACUAAGGUGCUUUGUGAUUAAGGCACUCAUCCUGCAAAGAUUUAUGCCUCUGCUGCUUAAUUUUACACAUCGACUUCAGUGGGGACUACUUACAACAUGUAAAGUUAAGCUAAUGUGGAAGUCUUUGCAGGAUCAGGGUCUAAGGACUGGGCUACAUGCAAAUUUUUUAUUGAUAUAAAUAUGUCAGUUAAGGGUGUGAUUUCUUACGAAAAUAGUUAUACCAGAAUAACCUCUAGUGUGGAUCGCUUACUCCCCAAACAGGAAAAAGGGCUUGUCUACACUUGAAACUUGUUUCAUCUUAAGGUAGAGUGUUAAUUUAAAGUGCAAUAACUCCAUGUGUGGAUACCCUUAUUCUGGAAUAGCGAUAGCUCUUAUUCUGGAAUUCCAUCUGUAAGCAAGCCUAAGAUACACCGUAUGACGCAUGGCCAGAAAGGGUUUAGCAGCUUGCAGGAUACUUGACCCAGAUUCAACUUUUAGGGACAUAUUGGUAGAUAAUGUUUGUGUUUUUGUGUGUUUACAUAUAUAUUGUUAGAGGUUAACAAUGUAAUCAAGAGUUCCUGUCUAUGCUGUAUUCUGUUAAUUCAGACAUCAAAAGGAAAUAUUUAA